rnacentral:rRNA from 1 species
CCUACGGGAGGCAGCAGUGGGGAAUAUUGCACAAUGGUGGAAACCCUGAUGCAGCGACGCCGCGUGAGUGAAGAAGUAUUUCGGUAUGUUAAGCCUUUUCAGCAGGGAAGAAAAUGACGGUACCUGUUUACGAAGCCCCGGGCAACUACGUGCCAGCAGCGGCGGUUAUCCGUAGGGGGCCGGCGUUAUCCGGAUUUACUGGGGGUAAAAGGGGCUUAGACGGUAGCACAAGUCUGGAGUGAAAUGGCGGGGCUUACACCCGGAACUGCUUUGGAAACUGGGGAGCGAGAGUGCAAGAGAAGUACGUGGAAUGCGUGGUGUAGCGGUGAAAUGCAUAGAUAUUAGGAAGAACACCGAUUGCGAAGGCAGCUUGCUGGAUUGUAACUGACGCUGAGGCACGAAAGCGUGGGGAGCGAACAGGAUUAGAUACCCGAGUAGUC